rnacentral:rRNA from 1 species
GGUUAAGCUACUAAGAGCACACGGAGGAUGCCUAGGCGCUAGGAGCCGAAGAAGGACGUGGCGAACAACGAUACUGCCUCGGGGAGCUGUAAGCAAGCUUCGAUCCGGGGAUGUCCGAAUGGGGAAACCCAGCUGAUGUAAUAGUCAGUUACCCGUAUCUGAAUACAUAGGAUGCGAGGAGGCAUACCCAGGGAACUGAAACAUCUAAGUACCUGGAGGAAGAGAAAACAAGAGUGAUUCCGUCAGUAGCGGCGAGCGAACGCGGAACAGCCUAAACCAGAGAGCUUGCUCUCUGGGGUUGUGGGACGUCUCACAUGGAGUUACAAAGGAAUUUAUUAGGCGAAGAGGUCUGGAAAGGCCCGCUAUAAGAGGUAAAAGCCCUGUAGCCGAAAGUAUAUUCCCUCCGAGACGGAUCCCGAGUAGUGCGGGGCACGUGAAACCCCGUAUGAAUCCAGCAGGACCAUCUGCUAAGGCUAAAUACUCCCUAGCGACCGAUAGUGAAGCAGUACCGUGAGGGAAAGGUGAAAAGCACCCCGGAAGGGGAGUGAAAUAGAACCUGAAACCGUGUGCUUACAAGAAGUCAGAGCCCGAUCUAUGGGUGAUGGCGUGCCUUUUGUAGAAUGAACCGGCGAGUUACGUUCCCAUGCAAGGUUAAGGCGAGAAGCCGUAGCCGCAGCGAAAGCGAGUCUGAAUAGGGCGAUUUAGUAUGUGGGCGUAGACCCGAAACCGUGUGAUCUACCCCUGUCCAGGGUGAAGGUGCGGUAACACGCACUGGAGGCCCGAACCCACGUAUGUUGAAAAAUGCGGGGAUGAGGUGGGGGUAGCGGAGAAAUUCCAAUCGAACUCGGAGAUAGCUGGUUCUCCCCGAAAUAGCUUUAGGGCUAGCCUCGGAAUGAAGAGUCGUGGAGGUAGAGCACUGAUUGGGUGCGGGGCCCGCAAGGGUUACCAAGCUCAGUCAAACUCCGAAUGCCAUAGACUUAUAUCCGGGAGUCAGACAGUGAGUGCUAAGAUCCAUUGUCAAAAGGGAAACAGCCCAGACCAUCAGCUAAGGUCCCCAAGUGUGUGUUAAGUGGGAAAGGAUGUGGAGUUGCACAGACAACCAGGAUGUUGGCUUAGAAGCAGCCACCAUUUAAAGAGUGCGUAAUAGCUCACUGGUCGAGUGACUCUGCGCCGAAAAUGUAACGGGGCUAAACACACCACCGAAGCUAUGGCUUGAUGCUUGCAUCAGGGGUAGGGGAGCGUUGUAUGUAGGUUGAAGGUGUACCGUAAGGAGCGCUGGACAGCAUACAAGUGAGAAUGCCGGUAUGAGUAACGAAAAGAUCAGUGAGAAUCUGAUCCGCCGAAAGCCCAAGGUUUCCUGAGGAAGGCUCGUCCGCUCAGGGUAAGUCGGGACCUAAGGUGAGGCCGAAAGGCGUAAUCGAAGGACAACAGGUUGAAAUUCCUGUACCACCGUAAACCGUUAUGAACGAUGGGGUGACGCAGGAGGGUAGUGACGCGGACUGAUGGAUGUCCGUCCAAGCAGUGAGGCUGAUGUGUAGGCAAAUCCGCACAUCAUUAAGGCUGGGCUGUGAUGGGGAGUGAAAAUUAUAGUAGCGAAGGUCAUGAUCUCACACUGCCAAGAAAAGCCUCUAGUCAGGUGAAGGUGCCCGUACCGCAAACCGACACAGGUAGGCGAGAAGAGAAUUCUAAGGCGCGCGGAAGAACUCUCGUUAAGGAACUCGGCAAAAUGACCCCGUAACUUCGGGAGAAGGGGUGCCUCGGUAGGGUGAAUAGCCCGAGGGGGCCGCAGUGAAAAGGCCCAAGCGACUGUUUAGCAAAAACACAGGUCUGUGCGAAGCCGUAAGGCGAAGUAUACGGGCUGACGCCUGCCCGGUGCUGGAAGGUUAAGGGGAGCGGUUAGGGGUUAAACCCGAAGCUGUGAACCGAAGCCCCAGUAAACGGCGGCCGUAACUAUAACGGUCCUAAGGUAGCGAAAUUCCUUGUCAGGUAAAUUCUGACCCGCACGAAUGGCGUAACGACUUGGGCGCUGUCUCAACGAGAGAUCCGGUGAAAUUUUAAUACCUGUGAAGAUGCAGGUUACCCGCGACAAGACGGAAAGACCCCAUGGAGCUUUACUGCAGCUUGAUAUUGGAUUUGGGUACGAUCUGUACAGGAUAGGUGGGAGCCUUUGAAGCAUGAGCGCCAGCUUGUGUGGAGGCGACGUUGGGAUACCACCCUGAUCGUAUCUAGGUUCUAACCUGGUACCGUAAUCCGGUACGGGGACAGUGUCAGGCGGGCAGUUUGACUGGGGCGGUCGCCUCCUAAAGAGUAACGGAGGCGCCCCAAGGUUCCCUCAGAAUGGUUGGAAAUCAUUCGAAGAGUGCAAAGGCAUAAGGGAGCUUGACUGCGAGACCUACAAGUCGAGCAGGGACGAAAGUCGGGCUUAGUGAUCCGGUGGUACCGCAUGGAAGGGCCAUCGCUCAACGGAUAAAAGCUACCCUGGGGAUAACAGGCUUAUCUCCCCCAAGAGUCCACAUCGACGGGGAGGUUUGGCACCUCGAUGUCGGCUCAUCGCAUCCUGGGGCUGAAGUAGGUCCCAAGGGUUGGGCUGUUCGCCCAUUAAAGCGGUACGCGAGCUGGGUUCAGAACGUCGUGAGACAGUUCGGUCCCUAUCUGUCGUGGGCGUAGGAAAUUUGAGAGGAGCUGUCCUUAGUACGAGAGGACCGGGAUGGACGUACCGCUGGUGCACCAGUUGUUCCGCCAGGAGCAUGGCUGGGUAGCUACGUACGGAAGGGAUAAGCGCUGAAAGCAUCUAAGCGUGAAGCCCCCCUCAAGAUGAGAUUUCCCAGUAUGUAAGACCCCUUGAAGACGACGAGGUAGAUAGGUUGGAGGUGGAAGUGCAGCAAUGCAUGGAGCUGACCAAUACUAAUCGGUCGAGGGCUUAUCCAA